AUUGAACGCUGGCGGCAGGCCUAACACAUGCAAGUCGGGCGAACGAGGCUUCGGCCAAGUGAGCGGCGAACGGGUGAGUAACGCGUAGGAAUCUGCCUGGUAGUGGGGGACAACGUUCCGAAAGGGACGCUAAUACCGCAUACGCCCUACGGGGGAAAGCUGGGGACCUUCGGGCCUAGCGCUAUCAGAUGAGCCUGCGUCGGAUUAGCUAGUUGGUGGGGUAAAGGCCCACCAAGGCGACGAUCCGUAACUGGUCUGAGAGGAUGAUCAGUCACACCGGAACUGGGACACGGGCCGGACUCCUACGGGAGGCAGCAGUGGGGAAUAUUGGACAAUGGGGGCAACCCUGAUCCAGCCAUGCCGCGUGUGUGAAGAAGGCCUUCGGGUUGUAAAGCACUUUAGGUCGGGAGGAAGGUUCGCUGGCUAAUAUCCAGCGGAAUUGACGUUACCGACAGAAUAAGCACCGGCUAACUCCGUGCCAGCCGCCGCCGUAA
rnacentral:rRNA from 1 species